CUAUCCUUUUAGUAGAAGAAAUCAGUGUGCUCCUUAAAAAUAGCAAUAAAGAACUAGAAAAGCUGUCUGUAAUGUUAGCGUUUGAUGAAUUUGAAAUUUUAUGGCAACAAACACGUAGAUGCCUCAGAUGCAGCAGGCACAGAGGGAAGUGUGAUUUUCCAUCCAAAGGAUUCCUUCUCUCUCAAGACGCUGUGCUCAGGGUCAUCACUUUGAGAUCUGUCAGAUUUUAGGAGGAUUUUCUUUCCUGGUUCCUUCGGUUUCAUUUUAAUUCCAAUAGGGACCAAGGAGAUGUUCCAAAAAAGGCCAUAGUAAUUUUUCUUAAUGGAUCAAAAUGUUUCAAAUUAUAACCCCUGGGUGGUCAGGAGUGGAGGAUUCAUAGCAAGUUGUAACUUUCAGGUGCACAUGGAUAACAAUUCAUACACAGAUACUGAACUCAAUACCAAAAUACAGUAUUCAGUGCUGCAGAUGGUGACUGCAAGGUGCAGUGUUUGUGAGGCUGUGGAGAUCAUCGCCCCAGUGGUGAUGCAGAACACAUUCACACAUCACUUGGGAACUUCUCUUGUGGCCACUGCUAUCCCCUCUGUACUCCCAUCCCCAGCUGACCAUGUUCUUUGUGUCCCUGGUAGAGAAUUUGCCUUUUCUCAAGAGGGGCCUUGUCUGCGCUCCUGCCUGCACCUCUGCUCCAGCAAGGUGCUCCUGGCUGCAUCUCUGCUCUAGAGAGAUCUCCGCCCUUCAAAGGACACUGUCCCUGCCAGGUAGGGCCCACCCUCCCUGGAUCCACUACCCUGAAGCUGUUUGUAUAGAUGUGGGGUGGGGGUGCUGCAGGAGGAGGAAGCCCCAGAUUGAGCCAGAGAUCCAACAGAGAGUCCGAUACCAGCGGCAUGACUCGAAGUUCCUUACCUGCUCCAAGACAGUGUUCUCAGCACUCCCAUGGUUUGGGAGAAGGAGGUAAAAUGGGAAACAUAAGCGAAGGUAUUUUGCCUCCACAAGGAACUGUGUGAAUUUCAAGGAAUGUCUUAGUUCUAGUGAACCAGUACUGGGCUGGGAAGCAACACUAUCUAACAAAGUCUUCAAUCCAUAUCAGAUGUUUAACAAAUGGAGCGAUUAAUUUCCUAAAUCCUAGUAAGAGCUACAGCAGAAGAAACAGAGCUCAGCCUUUGUACCCAGCACUCGUUACCUCCCACUCCCUGUUAACACCCCCACUGCAUAUAUGGCAUGGGCCAGUUCAGGCCUGUCUGAGACUGGUGGCAGUCAGUUCCUUGAUUCUGUUAUACCAUUCACGGGUAUUAGGAUGCCACACAUGGGGAAGAAUGCAGCACUUCCCAGCUGUGUUCCAUAAAAUGUUAGCAUCCUGUGGCCUUUUCUCAGCAUCCUUUGGGGGCUCAUGGUCACCCAUAUUUGUAAGAUGAUAAAGUAAAUAGUUAUUUUGGCUGCAGGACAUCUCAGAGAGUCCAGGUUUUUGUGUAUUGUCUCUCUACAAGGGGGGAAAAGAACGCAGGGUUAUGCAGGAUUUUUUUUUUUUGCCUAGAAAACUCUGUCCAUAAA
rnacentral:lncRNA from 1 species